rnacentral:misc_RNA from 1 species
CUGAGUUAGGGUUCUUUCAGAGCCCGAUCUCCAACCCUUUGUUAAAUUACUUUGUUGCUUUGGCAGGCCCGUCUUUCGGGACCGCCGGGGGAGUUAGGUCACCUCUGGUCAGUGUUUGCCAGUAGCCAAUUUAAAUUAUUUUUAACCAUGUCGUCUGAAUCUUAAUUAAAAUUUAAUUA